UACGGAGGGUGCAAGCGUUAUCCGGAUUCACUGGGUUUAAAGGGUGCGUAGGAGGGCAGGUAAGUCAGUGGUGAAAUCCUAGAGCUUAACUCUAGAACUGCCGUUGUUACUAUCUGUCUUGAAUAUUGUGGAGGUGAGCGGAAUAUGUCAUGUAGCGGUGAAAUGCUUAGAUAUGACAUAGAACACCAAUUGCGAAGGCAGCUCGCUACACAUAUAUUGACUCUGAGGCACGAAAGCGUGGGGAUCAAACAGG
rnacentral:rRNA from 1 species